GAUGAACGCUAGCGGUAGGCCUAACACAUGCAAGCCGAGCGGUAGAGUCUCUUCGGAGACUUGAGAGCGGCGCACGGGUGCGGAACACGUGUGCAACCUGCCUUUAUCUGGGGGAUAGCCUUUCGAAGGUAAGAUUAAUACCCCAUAAUAUACUGGAUGGCAUCAUCUGGUAUUGAAAACUCCGUUGGAUAGAGAUGGGCACGCGCAAGAUUAGAUAGUUGGUGAGGUAACGGCUCACCAAGUCAGCGAUCUUUAGGGGGCCUGAGAGGGUGAUACCCCACACUGGUACUGAGACACGGACCAGACUGCUACGGGAGGCAGCAGUGAGGAAUAUUGGACAAUGGGUGAGAGCCUGAUCCAGCCAUCCCGCGUGAAGGACGACGGCCCUAUGGGUUGUAAACUUCUUUUGUAUAGGGAUAAACCUAGAUACGUGUAUCUAGCUGAAGGUACUAUACGAAUAAGCACCGGCUAACUACGUG
rnacentral:rRNA from 1 species